rnacentral:rRNA from 1 species
CCCCACUGCUAUCGGGAUGGGACUAAGACAUGCUAGUCGUGCGUCUCCAAGCCAUGGCGGAGACGCGGCGCACAGCUCAGUAACACGUGGCUAACCUGCCCUUAGGACAGGGACAACCCCGGGAAGCUGGGGCUAAUCCCUGAUAGGUGAGGGUUCCUGGAAUGGGCCCUCGCCGAAAGGGCGCCUAGACCAUGCUUCUAGGCGCUGCCCAAGGAUGGAGCCGCGGCCGAUCAGGUUGUUGGUGAGGCAACGGCUCACCAAGCCUUUAACCGGUACGGGCCGUGAGAGCGGGAGCCCGGAGAUGGGUACUGAGACAAGGACCCAGGCCCUACGGGGCGCAGCAGUCGCGAAAACUCCGCAAUACGCGAAAGCGUGACGGGGCUAUCCCGAGUGCCGUCCGCUGAGGAUGGCUUUUCCCUAGUGUAUAAAGCUGGGGGAAUAAGGAGAGGGCAAGCCUGGUGUCAGCCGCCGCGGUAAUACCAGCUCUCCGAGUGGUAGGGAUGUUUAUUGGGCUUAAAGCGUUCGUAGCUGGCUCAGCAAGUCUUCCGUUAAAUCCAGCGAUUUAAUCGUUGGGCUGCGGGGGAUACUGUUGGGCUAGGGGACGGGAGAGGCCGACGGUAUUCUCGGAGUAGGGGUGAAAUCCUAUAAUCCCGGGAGGACCACCAGUGGCGAAGGCUGUCGGCUAGAACGAGCUCGACGGUGAGGGACGAAAGCUGGGGGAGCGAACCGGAUUAGAUACCCGGGUAGUCCCAGCUGUAAACGAUGCGGGCUAGGUGUUAGGGUGGCUACGAGCCACUCUAGUGCCGCAGCGAAGGCGUUAAGCCCGCCGCCUGGGGAGUACGGCCGCAAGGCUGAAACUUAAAGGAAUUGGCGGGGGAGCACCACAAGGCGUGAAGCGUGCGGUUU